rnacentral:rRNA from 1 species
CUACGGGGGGCUCCAGUGAGGAAUCUUGCGCAAUGGGGGAAACCCUGACGCAGCGACGCCGCGUGGGUGAUGAAGGCCUUCGGGUCGUAAAGCCCUGUCGAGAGGGAAGAAUUGCAUUUAGGUUAAUAGCCUAAUUGUUUGACGGUACCUCCAAAGGAAGCACCGGCUAACUCCGUGCCAGCAGCCGCGGUAAUACGGAGGGUGCAAGCGUUGUUCGGAAUCACUGGGCGUAAAGGGCGUGGAGGCGGCUGAGUAAGUCAGGUGUGAAAUCCCUCGGCUCAACCGAGGAAGUGCAUUUGAUACUGCUCAUCUUGAGUACUGGAGAGGGAGAUGGAAUUCCCGGUGUAGAGGUGAAAUUCGUAGAUAUCGGGAGGAACACCAGUGGCGAAGGCGAUCUCCUGGACAGAUACUGACGCUAAGGCGCGAAAGCGUGGGGAGCAAACAGGAUUAGAUACCCCUGUAGUC